rnacentral:tRNA from 1 species
CUGGGUGUGGGUCGCCCCGGACGGCGGCCCGGCCCUGGUCGGCUGGGGCGAGAUCGCCCGGUUCGAGGCCGGCGGGCCCGGGCC